UACGGAGGAUGCGAGCGUUAUCCGGAUUUAUUGGGUUUAAAGGGAGCGCAGACGGGUCGUUAAGUCAGCUGUGAAAGUUUGGGGCUCAACCUUAAAAUUGCAGUUGAUACUGGCGUUCUUGAGUGCGGUUGAGGUGUGCGGAAUUCGUGGUGUAGCGGUGAAAUGCUUAGAUAUCACGAAGAACUCCGAUUGCGAAGGCAGCACACUAAGCCGUAACUGACGUUCAUGCUCGAAAGUGUGGGUAUCAAACAGG
rnacentral:rRNA from 1 species